rnacentral:rRNA from 1 species
CACGUAGGCACCAAGCGUUGUCCGGAUUUAUUGGGCGUAAAGAGCUCGUAGGCGGUUCAGUAAGUCGGGUGUGAAAACUCAGGGCUCAACCCUGAGCGGCCACCCGAUACUGCUGUGGCUAGAGUCCGGUAGGGGAGCAUGGAAUUCCUGGUGUAGCGGUGAAAUGCGCAGAUAUCAGGAGGAACACCAGUGGCGAAGGCGGUGCUCUGGGCCGGAACUGACGCUGAGGAGCGAAAGCGUGGGGAGCAAACAGG